rnacentral:rRNA from 1 species
CCUACGGGAGGCAGCAGUGGGGAAUAUUGCGCAAUGGGGGAAACCCUGACGCAGCAACGCCGCGUGGAGGAUGAAGGCCUUCGGGUUGUAAACUCCUGUCUUCGCUGACGAAAGAUGACGGUAAGCGAGGAGGAAGCCACGGCUAACUACGUGCCAGCAGCCGCGGUAAU